rnacentral:lncRNA from 1 species
UACCUUCACGCAAUACGGUGACGUUUACAACAGCAUUAUCAACGUUUGUUCCAUGAUAACAUGUCCAUCCACCGUUUAUGCUGUUGUCGAUUCGCCCUUUUAUGGUAAGCAUUGUGAUAUUAUGUAGAGCGUCUUGGGUAAUGGUGCAAUUUCUACUUAGGGAGUAGCAAUGAGAAAAUGGUAUAGGACUCAUACAAUACGCUUGCUCUUUGUCGAACUGGUUGAAAAAUUUGACUUGCCAUGACAAUUUGUUUACUCUGCAUUUAAAGGUAAUUU